rnacentral:tRNA from 1 species
GAAGGUAUAGCUCAAGUGGCAGAGUGCAUGCUUAGCAUGCGUGAGGUCCUGGGUUCAAUCCCCAGUACCUCCU